GCCACCAGACACUAGGAGGAAUGUCAGCAUGUCCCGGCUGCAGCAUGGACCACUCAGCUGAUGAGAGAGAGCAGGGGGCGCCGCAGAGCAGGCACUGCAGUGAGCAGCAGCAGGCGGGACCACACGGCGCACCGCCGGCCGGCGGUAGGGCAGUAUUUUUAGCCUCCCUGAUCGUGGGACUUCCCGCAGGAUGAUGCUGCCUCUCUGAUGCCCCUCCCGCUGCAGGGAUGCGGCCAGCUUCACGUGUCUGAGGAUGGUGCGUACCCUACUCACACGAACAAAUAGAAAUCUCCCUCCUAUCUGGGUUUCUUUCGUCCAUGAUGUCUUAUGGCAAUAAUUCACAAAGAGUGCAACAUCCAGUGAAGAAAACCAAUAAAAAAUCUUUUCCAAGGAAACCAGUCCGCCGGGAUAAAAACUGACUCUGCCUCCCCGGCCGUCACUCACCACAGGCCGCUCCUCUCCUCCUCCUACUGUCUGCGUCACCGUCAGUCGCCUCGGAGUAGCCGCUCGACAGUGCCACUGGAGUCUUCCUUCCUUUCCGGCCGGCCCGGAUAAGCCGCUGCUGCUGCCGGAGAGAGGACCCGUUGCCGCCGCUCCUGGAUGUCACGACCACCACAGCUGACUCCGCCUCCCCGGCCGUCACCACAGGCCGCUCCUCUCCUCCUACUACUGUCUGCGUCACCGUCAGUCGCCUCGGAGUAGCCGCUCGACAGUGCCACUGGAGUCUCCCUUCCUUUCCGGCCCGGAUAAGCCGCUGCUGCCGCCGGAGAGAGGACCCAUUGCCGCCGCUCCUGGAUGU